GUCAAGACUAACUUUUGUGUCCGUUUCUCUUUAUUACUACUUGCCGACUCAGAUUAAGUCUGAGGCCUGUAGUGGAACAUUGCAUAAUUAGUCAUGCUAUCCCGCGUUUUACUGCUUAAAGAAUAGUCUCUUGUUAUAUGCUAGUGUUUUUUCUAAUCUGAUACAAACUUGUCUUUGUGUGACUUUGUCACAAGACUGAGCGUAUAGCUAUGAUCCGUUAGGUACGUCCGCAGCAUCUGACAUCCCGUGGGUUUACUAUCUACAGGAAGUCACAUGUAUGGGAACUUGCAGAAAGGAGCACAUUAUAAUGUUUGCUGUUGGGAAUGUAGUUAGACGGUGAAGACCUUGGGCUAUCAACCUCGUGUUAUCUUAAAUCUGCACAACAAGUAAUUGCCUUUUACACACUUUGUGCCACGUCUACUAAAAGGAUGUACUUCUCUAUAAAAGCGGAGACCCGUCACUGUUCGUUGGGCCUUAACUGCACAACUGUUGAAGUGCAUAGUUGACUGCUCCAUUUUAGCUAAUCUUAUAAUAAAGUGUUGUUUGAAAGAAUCUGCAGUCUCUCUUAUAGAAUUUAUCUGACAAGCCGGCAACAUCGAGAGUGAGGAUAAACCCAGCCUGCCUCUCUCCUUCCACACCAAGUCCAGACCUACAGUCACUGGGUCCUGAUUGUGACAGAGGAGCCCAGUUUGCACUGCAGGAUCCAGAGAUGGCAUCAGUGAAGCUGGAAGACUGCAGUCAAACACUGGAGCUGAAUGUCAACAUUAAAGAUGAAGAAGAGGAGGAGAAGAUUGGGAAAUAUGUUUCUCAUGGUCACAUUGAGACAUUCUCUACAUCCAGAGAGCAACAGCAGGAAGAUCACAGACCUAAGAGGUCUCACCAAUGCCCACAUUAGAAGACGAAAUUGCCUCGGAUCAGAGAGCAUGGUCAGGCCCAGAACAGAAGAUGGACGGGUUGGGAUUCUGACAUCUGGCUAAACAAAGAGACGACCAUGGACAUUCCACAGGGGAAAAGAGGGAAACUCAUUGGGGCCAUAAAAUGUAUAGCUGGGGAGGUGACGCCCAUAAGGGAAGAGUAUAAAAUGUGUUGUGAGCUUUUUAAAUGCAUGCACUCAGCUGACUGUAUCCUUGGUAUUAAACACUCUCUUAAACUUCU